AACGAACGCUGGCGGCAGGCUUAACACAUGCAAGUCGAGCGCCCCGCACGGGGAGCGGCAGACGGGUGAGUAACGCGUGGGAACGUACCUUUUGGUUCGGAACAACUCCGGGAAACUGGAGCUAAUACCGGAUAAGCCCUCACGGGGAAAGAUUUAUCGCCGAAAGAUCGGCCCGCGUCUGAUUAGCUAGUUGGUGAGGUAACGGCUCACCAAGGCGACGAUCAGUAGCUGGUCUGAGAGGAUGAUCAGCCACACUGGGACUGAGACACGGCCCAGACUCCUACGGGAGGCAGCAGUGGGGAAUAUUGGACAAUGGGCGCAAGCCUGAUCCAGCCAUGCCGCGUGAGUGAUGAAGGCCUUAGGGUUGUAAAGCUCUUUUGUCCGGGAAGAUAAUGACUGUACCGGAAGAAUAAGCCCCGGCUAACUUCGUG
rnacentral:rRNA from 1 species